AUGCCAAGAUCUACAUUUACAUGCAUGAGAAAAGAACUGUACAGGAAAAAAGAUCAUUUAACAUGUAUGGGUGUGAGUUUUCAUUUUUAUUGCCUUGACUUUUUCACAGCAUGUACAAACAAUGAAAGUACACUGAAGUCCAUCAUGAAGAAGAAAGAUGGUAACAAAGAUUCAAAUGGCGCAAAAAAGAAUCUUCAGUUUGUUGGCAUUAAUGGAGGGCGUAUGAAUUAAGUGAAAAGAUGUUUUCUGCAUGCAACUUACUGAAAAAUACUAUAAAUGACCCAAAGCUUUGACCAGCAAAGAUAGGUGAGUCUGACCUUCAAACACCUCCCCGU
rnacentral:lncRNA from 1 species